GAUGGAACAAUGUAGGCAAGGGAAGUCGGCAAAAUGGAUCCGUAACUUCGAGAAAUGGAUUGCCUCUGACGGCUGGGCUUGGGGGUCCCAGUUCCGAACCCGUCGAUUGUGGGCGGCUGCUUGAGCCGCUAACGUGGCGAGAGCGGAGCGCCUCGUGUCGGCUGGGGGACGGACUUGGAACGACUCUUUUGGGAGCUUUCCCCGGGCGUCGAACAGCCAACUCAGAACUGGUACGGACAAGGGGAAUCCGAUUGUUUAAUUAAAAUAAAGCAUUGCGAUGGUCCCUGCGGAUGCUAACGCAAUGUGAUUUCUGCCCAGGGCUCUGAAUGUCAAAGUGAAGAAAUUCAACCAAGCGCGGGUAAACGGCGGGAGUAACUAUGACUCUCUUAAGGUAGCCAAAUGCCUCGUCAUCUAAUUAGUGACGCCCAUGAAUGGAUUAACGAGAUUCCCACUGUCCCUGUCUACUAUCCAGCGAAACCACAACCAAGGGAACGGGCUUGGCAGAAUCAGCGGGGAAAGAAGACCCUGUUGAGCUUGACUCUAGUCCGACUUUGUGAAAUGACUUGAGAGGUGUAGAAUAAGUGGGAGCUCCGGCGCAAGUGAAAUACCACUACUUUUAACGUUAUUUUGUUGUGAAACUUAGGAUUUAGAGCUGUAAGUUUAUGUCAAUCUUAUUAAUGAAUAAGUGUUCCCUUUAUAUAAGGGUUACAAGAGAGAUAAAUGGAAAUACAAGAAUAGGAAAAAUUACAAAUCAUAAACAUAAACGAAUAAGGAAAACAUAGAUGUAGCCGCCUCUCUCUCUCCUCAAUAGGCUGACUCUCUCUCCUCUCCUCUCUCUCCCGCGGAUGGGCCGGUUUAUGGACCGGGCCGGUUAUGGAUAUCCAUCAAUUGAUUUAUAACACUCCCCCUUGGAUGCCAUAACCAUACAGGGAUUGUAAUACGCUUAAUGUUGCCUCAUUAAAACCUUAUCAGGAAAAUCCAGUGGGACAAAACCAUGAUGAAGGAAAAAGAGUACAACACGUACUACUCCCCCUGAUGUGAACCUCAGUGGAGGUCUUUCAGCCUACGCAUCCCAAUCUGAUGCGUGAGUUUCUUGAAUGUGCAAGUCGGGAGUGACUUAGUGAAUAGGUCAGCUAAAUUGUCGCUGGACCUUACUUGGACGACCAGGACUUCGCCGGCUUUCUGAAGCUUGUGCAUGAAAAAGAACUUAGGUAAUAUGUGCUUCGUCCUAUCACCUUUUAUGUAACCGUCCUUGAGCUGAGCAAUGCACGCAGCAUUUUCCUCAUACAUCACGGUUGGCUCUUUGCUCUCGGCCAUCCCGCAAUCAGCUUGGACGUGUUGGGUCUUCGACCUCAACCAAACACACUCGCGGCUGGCCUCAUGAAUGGCCAAGAUUUCCGAGUGAUUAGAUGAUGUGGCCACGAUGGUUUGUUUAAUGGAACGCCAUGAAAUGGCCGUACCUCGAUGUGUAAAGACAUAUCAUGUCUGUGAUCGAGCUUGAUGUGGAUCUGAUAGAUACCCUGCAUCAGCAAAGCCAACUAAACCAUCUUUGUUAUGGUUAGUAUAAUAUAGACCCAAGUCUUUCGUUCCUUGCAGGUCACGAAGAACAUGUUUAAUCCCAUUCCAGUGCCUCUGGGUCGGACAAGAGCUAAACCUAGAUAGUAGGUUCACGGCAAAGCUUAUAUCAGGCCGUGUGUGAGUUGCCAAGUACAUUAAAGCUCUUAUGGCACUGAGAUAUGACAUUUCGGGACCUAGGACAUCUUCAUGGUCCAUUUUGGGACGAAAUGGAUCAGUGUCCAUACCGAAAGAUCUCACGACCAUGGGACUGGUCAGAGGAUGGCAAUCGGCCAUAUUAAACCUCUUGAGUACCUUUUCAGUUUAUGUCAUCUGAUGCACAAGGAUCCCAUCAUUUAUGUACUCAAGUUGUAAUCCCAAACAGAAUUUUUUUUUCCCGAGAUCUUUCAUCUCGAAUUCUUUCUUAAGGUAUU
rfam:Brassica napus, WGS project CCCW01000000 data, contig: 22051